UACGUAGGGUGCAAGCGUUAAUCGGAAUUACUGGGCGUAAGCGUGCGCAGGCGGUUUUGUAAGUCUGACGUGAAAUCCCCGGGCUCAACCUGGGAAUUGCGUUGGAGACUGCAAGGCUAGAAUCUGGCAGAGGGGGGUAGAAUUCCACGUGUAGCAGUGAAAUGCGUAGAGAUGUGGAGGAACACCGAUGGCGAAGGCAGCCCCCUGGGUCAAGAUUGACGCUCAUGCACGAAAGCGUGGGGAGCAAACAGG
rnacentral:rRNA from 1 species